UCUGCUUCUCGGCCUUUUGGCUAAGAUCAAGUGUAGUAUCUGUUCUUAUCAGUUUAUAUAGGUAUAAAUGGGUUAAAUACAUAAUGAUCAGAACAUUCAUAUUUCAAAGAGAAGAACAUAUUUGAGAUGAUCAUUUGAAUUAGUCAAGAUUCCACCCAAAUUCUAGCCAUAUUUGGUCAUCU